AAAAAUGUUUCUUUUUGGCACAGUCUAUCUAAGACCGUCCCUAAUUCCACAAAAAAAAAAAAAAAAAUAGCGCCAAACUUAGCGCUUCAAUUUUCUUUUGUUUGGCGAUAUUGUACGCGAGCAAAAAUGAAACAUAUAAAAUUAUUUUAUUUUACAAAAUAGGGAAGCCCAUCAAACUACGUCGUUUUAAUCUAAAAAAAUUUAGUAAACCCUAUAUCAUUUGCAAACCUCUUACACCGUCACAAACCUCUUCAGUUCUUUGAUCUCAAAAGUUGCAGACGUCUUCCACCGGCAUGAAAUUUGAAGACCUUACCUCUUAAUCAAACAUUCUUUGGGCUUGAUUUUCACCCAAUUCAAUAGCUCCUGUUCAAAACGUCUUCAAUCUUCAGCGAAUCACAAGAUCAUGAUCCUGAGCUUGUGGAGAGUGCGUUAAUAUGAAAGUGGACAGAGGAUCAACGUCAGCGCCUGUUUCUCGGCUUCCACUAGAGUAACAAAAAACAAAAGUCUGAAAGGAAGGUAUCUAUAGAAACAGACUGAUAAGAAUGAUAAUGACAGAUAAGUCACAUAAUUCUAAUGCCUCUUUGUUCUUGCGUAGAAGUCUUUAUAUUGACUUAAUGGCAUUCAACUUUAGAGGUCAAUCAGAUGUGUUUGAUAAUGGGUCAUCCAGAGAUAAUUCUGAGGAUUCAAUGUUUGAUAUUGAGAACCCUAAAAGGUCUGAGCUAUCAAUUCAACAUCCAAGAUCAAAUGUGCAUCAAGAAAAUGACUCUCAUGGGCUUUUAAUCGAGCAACCCUUCAAGCCUAUUCUUUAUUUGGAAAAAGAUGUGCCAAACCUUGACCACGAAGAAUAUCCAUUUCCAGCAAAGGGCUUGAGCAUGACUUAGGACAGGGUUAGAAACUUCCUGAUAUGAUGUUUGCUACAAGGUGUAGCAUAUCUGAUGCAUGCACUUCUAUAGCUAAACAGCUGGAGAAUGUUUACUCAUCGGUUUCGGUAAGUUUAUUUCCUCACAACUAGUCCGUCCUUAAUUAUCAUGUUAAGGCUAAUACUUAAUAAAGCAGUUCUAGUAAAUGAUGAAAUUAUUUAUGCAACAACACCACCUCGAUAUUCACAUGUCAUAAGGAAAAUGAUGUUUGUUGAUAGUUAGUGUUUGAUGUUAUGUGUUGCUCUAAUGUACUGGAGAUAGGUAGCUCAGCUCAGUUUAUCCUUUGUGAUAUGAUUCCGGUCCAGAAUAUAGUAGGUCCUCCGCUAAGCAUGGGAAGCACCUUUGGUUUGGAAGAGAAAUUGGAUACAAUUCAGAAGCUACUUGAGUAGCAACAGCAACUGCAGCAACAACAUUUUCAUGACUGCAUUCAGUUUAAAAUGAUGUUUUAAUUUUUGAGGAUGUUUGAAACCAUUUGAUGUUAAAGCAGCUAGUAGAUACUUUUUAGUUCUUGUUUACAAAAUUAGAGAAUUUGUAACUUCUUCGUGAGAUUAAGAGCUCGUUUGUUGGCACUGUAUUGUGGUGACAAUAUAUUUUUUUCUUUCUAAAA